CGGCAUGUAACGGCCAUUCAGUCACAAGUAAUUCUCCAAACACACCCUCCUCUUGCAGUACCGUCUCAAAGAGGAUAUUUGAGGUAGGCAAAACAAUUACUGUGCUCUCAAUGCGUAACAUAUCCCUUUGAAAUUGACGAACAUGAGUAGCAACUAGUUUGGCAUUUUCAUAAGUUGGUCUGCACAAGUAGAUUGUCUUUUUCUCAAUAUCAUUUGGAAUAUUUUCAUUAAACCAAUAAACCUGAGGUAUUCCAUGUUCUUGUAAAGUAUUGGUAGUAACUAUUUGACCUAAAAUUCCUGACAGAUCACGUUCCAAGAGCAAACUUUUUUUCCCAGUAACCUUUAACACAUUAUCAUUAGCAUGUCACUUUUCAAAUCCACAUACACUGUCUAUUAAAUCUAACAACUUAAAUGUAGCUUUUUCUUUAACGUCUGUAGUCAUCAAGCCAUGAAUUGAGUCCACCAACUCUUUAGGACGUCUGCAGUUAAAUGGAGGUAGAGGGAAACACUAGAAUGACACUUGAUUUCACAAAGCAAAACCCUUAGAUGUUAAUAUUACACAACGUAAAUAAAAUAGAAAAGAACGGAAUGAUUUUUCCAACAGUUAUUGUUAACUUUAAAAGGUAUUGCGACUUU